ensembl:lncRNA LYRM4-AS1 LYRM4 antisense RNA 1
ACCGCCGGCGGCCCCGCCCCGCGAAGCCUAGCACUCUCCCCAAACCUCUCUCGCACGCGGGGACUGAGCACGGCCCGAAAAGCCGAGGACAGCCGGACUCACCCUGUAGUUAUAGUAGUGCGUCUGCACAAGAUGCCGGUGGCGCGACUUGUGGUUGCCGAAGUUGGAUUUCUCGCAAACCAAGAUGGGGUCUUGCUGUGUUGCCCAGACUGGUCUCAAACUCCUGAGCUCAAGUGAUCCACCCACCGUGGCCUCCCAAAGUGCUGAGAUUAAAGGCUACCCAUGGGGACCUCAACAGCUUUGCCAUUGCACACUAUCUUUGCAGACAAGAUCUUAAUCACAUCCAACUUUCUGCAGUUGCACAGGGUACCUCAGACCCACAUCCCAGAUGACAUUCCUCAGAAGCUCGCAGCUGGAGAUGACAUCACCUUAGACAACAUCACCCUAGCCCAAGACAUCGCUAUUAGAGAUACAUCACCUGGACACUAAAGCCUCCAACCCAGUGACACUCUCAAGGUGCUGACAAAAUGGACAUGGACAUUUGUUGCUUUUCUUCUUUUGAAUUAGGAACUCUAUUGUGUUUCCUGAAUUUACUGUCUGCUUGGCCCAUGAUCCUGCUGGGAAACCUCUUAUCCUCAUCACCAGUGCCAGGGUCCAGCUUCAGGAGGGCAGGGCUCACCUGCUUUACUUCCAGAUCACCAUGUGCAGCGUGGAGCUUCCCUCUGACGUGUUUGUUGGAUUUGUUUCAAAAAGGCGGCCAUGGUUUCUUUUUUUCCUUCCUCGGCCCUGAUUAAUUUCAACAGAAGAAAAUGUAUCCCCUCUAGUUUGUGAUGGAAUCCAAGCUUAAUUAGCCAUUCAUGGUGCUAAACUGUCCUGCACUGGAUGACCCAAUCGCUUCUGAUUUUCCAAGCUUGGCUCUCAGACCAUCCUGGUGGAAGAAACACUAGCAGUCUGCCCAAUCUGAAUGCAAAUCCAGAAUAAUCUUUUCUUUUGUUGUUACACAGUUAUGAGUGCAAUUUUUAAAUGGCUGCUACUCUACAGCCUGCCUGCCUUAUGCUUUCUCCUGGGCACGCAGGAAAGUGAGAGCUUCCACUCCAAAGCAGAGAUCCUAGUGACACUAAGUCAGGUAAUAAUCUCUCCAGCUGGACCUCAUGCACUCACAUGGACAACACACUUCUCUCCUUCAGUGAUCAUCAUCCUUGUACCAUGUUGGUGGCAUGCUGUAAUCGUGACUCAACAUCCGGUUGCCAAUUGCUAUGUAACAAACCACCUCAACAUUCAGUGGCUUGAAUUGAAAGCAGGGUCUUGAAGAGAUAUUUGCACAUUUCAUCCUCCCAGCAGCAUUAUUCACAACAGCCAAUAGGCAGAAGCAACCCAAUGUCCAACCAUAGAUGAGUGGAUAACCAAAAUGUAGUCCAUCCAUACAAUGAAAUAUGAUUCAGCCUUAACAAGGAAGGAAGUCCCGCCACGUGCUACAACAUGGAUGGACCUUGAGGACACUAUGCUAAGUGAAGUAAGCCAGGCACAAAAGGACAAAUACUCUAUGAUUCCAUUUUAUAGGGUACCAAAGAGAAUCAAACUCACAGAGAUAGAAAGUAGACUGGGGUGGCCAGGGACUCGGGGAGAGAGGAAAGGGCAGUUAUUGUUUAAAAGGUACAGAGUUUCAGUUUGGGAAGAUGAAAAUGUUCUGGAAACGGUUAAUGGUGAUUUUACAUUGUUUAUGUUACCACGAUUUGUAAAAGAGCAGCUGCGCUGAGAAUGAGCAUGCUUGUCAUUGGCAGCUCUCUGAGAUUUUCAGUGCCUCUUACUGGCUUGUUAAGAAGACGGCA